rnacentral:rRNA from 1 species
CGUGCCUUUUGUAGAAUGAACCGGCGAGUUAUCUUUGCAUGCGAGGUUAAGCAGACAAUGCGGAGCCGUAGCGAAAGCGAAUCUUAAUAGGGUGACAAGUAUGUAGAGAUAGACCCGAAGCCGUAGUGAUCUAGUCAUGAGCAGGUUGAAGGCUGGGUGAAUCCAGCUGGAGGACCGAACCGACCCCCGUUGAAAAGUUGGCGGAUGACUUGUGAUUAGCGGAGAAAUUCCAAUCGAACACGGCGAUAGCUGGUUCUCCCCGAAAUAGCUUUAGGGCUAGCGUUGAACGGAUCUACCCGGAGGUAGAGCACUGAAAUCAUGCGGGCGGCAUCUCGCCGUACCAAAUGAUAUCAAACUCCGAAUGCCGGGCAAGAAUAUUCAGCAGUCAGACUGUGGGUGAUAAGGUCCAUGGUCAAAAGGGAAACAGCCCAGAUCAUCAGAUAAGGUCCCAAAAUUUACGCUAAGUGGAAAAGGAUGUGGAGACGCGCAAACAGCUAGGAGGUUGGCUCAGAAGCAGCCAUCCUUCAAAGAGUGCGUAACAGCUCACUAGUCGAGUAUCUCUGCGCCGAAAAUUAACCGGGGCUAAGCGUAAUACCGAAUCUAUGGAUUUAUACUUAGGUAUAAGUGGUAGGGGAGCGUUCCAUACAGCAUUGAAGGUAUACCGUAAGGAGUGCUGGAGCGUAUGGAAGUGAGAAUGCCGGUGUGAGUAGCGAGAUGUGGGUGAGAAUCCCACACACCGAACAACCAAGGUUUCCAGGGGAAGGUUCGUCCGCCCUGGGUAAGUCGGGACCUAAGGCCAGGCCGAAAGGCGUAGUCGAUGGACAGCAGGUUGAUAUUCCUGCACCCGCGAGUAAAGUGAUGGAGUGACAGAUAGGGUUAGCCCUAGUCCUUAAUGGAUUGGGCAAGGCAAGCAGGAGAGUGGCGUAGGCAAAUCCGCGCCGGAUACUCAAAGGCUUGACUCAAGCGAACGCGCGAGCAAGUAGUGAAGAGGGCGAUACCAGGUCUCAAGAAAAGCUUCUAGCGAUAAUUUACUAGCGGCCCGUACCAAAACCGACACAGGUGGUUGAGGCGAGUAGCCUAAGGUGAGCGAGAGAACUGUUGCCAAGGAACUCGGCAAAUUGACCCCGUACGUUAGCAAUAAGGGGUGCUCGAAAGAGCCGCAGUGAAUAGGCCCUAGCAACUGUUUAACUAAAACAUAGCUCUCUGCGAAGUCGCAAGACGAAGUAUAGGGGGUGACACCUGCCCGGUGCUGGAAGGUCAAGGGGAUUUGUCAGACGCAAGUCGAAGCAUUGAACCGAAGCCCCAGUGAACGGCGGCCGUAACUAUAACGGUCCUAAGGUAGCGAAAUUCCUUGUCAGGUAAGUUCUGACCCGCACGAAAGGUGUAAUGAUUUGGGCACUGUCUCGGCAGCAGACUCGGUGAAAUCUUAGUACCUGUGAAGAUGCAGGUUACCCGCAACUAGACGGAAAGACCCCAUGGAGCUUUACUGUAGUCUGCUAUUGAGUUUCGGUUAAGUAUGCACAGGAUAGGUGGGAGACGAUGAGACUGGUCUUUUGGGAUCAGAGGAGUCACUGUUGGGAUACCACUCUUACUUAAUUGAAAUUCUAACUCUAAGCCGUGAUCCGGCUAGAGGACCGUGGCAGAUGGGCAGUUUGACUGGGGCGGUCGCCUCCCAAAGAGUAACGGAGGCGCACAAAGGUACUCUCAGAAUGGUUGGAAAUCAUUCAACGAGCGCAAACGCAGAAGAGUGCUUGACUGCGAGACAAACAAGUCGAGCAGGGACGAAAGUCGGUGUUAGUGAUCCGGCGGUGCAGAAUGGAAUGGCCGUCGCUUAACGGAUAAAAGCUACCCUGGGGAUAACAGGCUGAUCUCGCCCAAGAGUUCACAUCGACGGCGAGGUUUGGCACCUCGAUGUCGGCUCAUCGCAUCCUGGAGGUGAAUUCGCUUCCAAGGGUUGGGCUGUCCGCCCAUUAAAGCGGUACGCGAGCUGGGUUCAGAACGUCGUGAGACAGUUCGGUCCCUAUCUGUUGUGGGCGUUGGAAAUUUGAGGAGAGCUGCCCCUAGUACGAGAGGACCAGGGUGGACGUUCCUACGGUGCACCAGUUGUCACGCCAGUGGCAUAGCUGGAUAGCUGAGAACGGACCGGAUAAACGCUGAAGGCAUCUAAGCGUGAAACCGACUCCAAGAUUAGAUUUCCCAUCAUUUCAAAUGAAUAAGACCCCUUGAAGACGACGAGGUUGAUAGGUCAGAGAUGUAAGUGUAGCGAUACAUUCAGUUGACUGAUACUAAUAGGUCGAAGAUUUAUUCAC